CGUUUAUCUAUAUGUAAAAAGAAGUAAAAAGUGAAUAAGAUUGUUCAGAUAAUUCAUGAGAUGACAAACUGAGCUUACAAGUUUCGACACGUUCCGACAAUUCUCAACUUUAUUAAAAUCAUUAAAAUUUAUCACUAUUUCAGUAAUUUCUUUCGACAAAUAUGCAUUGCAUUGUCAGAUUUUGUAUUUUCUGUAAAGUAGAAUAGAAAAUAUCGUAAAAUAGCGAAAAAAAGAAAAAUUCAUCAUACGCUAAAGUACAGUCUCAGUAGAAAGUAUUCUACAGUAUCGACAAACGCAUUCGAUUCGUGGACAUUUUAUUCCUCGCGUCUGAUUUGCUGAGGGACGGAGGUAUUUUCAAAUUCUCUCCAAUGCCAACAGUAGAAGAAGAGAAGUUUGUAAGUUGGCAACACUGCAAUUUUCGCGCAAUUUGCCUGUUCAUUCCUGUCGGUUAACGGAUUCCACAUUCAGGCUUUAACAUGUUUAGUUUUUGGUGAUUUGAAGACUGAACGAAAAAGACCAAGUCGAAAAAAAGAGAGUGUGUGAUAUCAACAAAGGAGGCGGAAAUUUUGUCAAAGUUUCAAAUUGUGAGGCCUUUGUAAUUAAAAAGGACAUGGCAAAAGUGUUACAAGUGUUUGUUUCCUGGCGAUGAAGAAAAAGAAGAAGAAUUUCGAAGCUACUCCAGAAAGAAAAUCAAAGCAAAGUUCAUCGAAGUUUGCUGCAGAUAUCUUCGCAGGAUUGUUCCAGGAAUGAUGUGAGAACCCCAUCCGGACGUAUUUUGGUAUUUUGGCAAGUCGAUUUUUAUUUUAUAAAACCUUCUCUGUUUUAAAUAAAUCGUGAGACAAUUUUUCUCAAUAAAAAUUAAUUUUACUGGAUUAAUUAAUUUAUUGGAUAUAUUAAAUUAAUUAAUCUCAGUAGAUUAAUUUGGGAAUUUGAAAUAUUUUUUAUUUUUAAUUUAUAGGAGUUGUCCGCAUAUUACGUCACAGAUUUUUACCCUUUUUUUAAUGCUCGCAAUCAUUUUCCGCCAUGCGACAAAUUGUUGUAUAAAAUAGCGCCGUUUUUUCUACAGGCUGCUAUAUAAAUAAUUUAAUUCCCGCCCCCUCCCCUUGACCCUUUAGGUAUAAUGUAAUAUAUGGAUGACCCCUUAAAUAAUUUGUGAAUUAUUUUCUCAAAAUUUUAUUGAAAACGUAAAUAACUUCAUAUUAAAACCGUAAAAUGAUGAAAACUCUUUAAAACAGGGAAGGAACUCUUU